AGUUGUUGUUAAAACCUCUAAUAGAAUGGUUUCAUGGAUAAUAGAAAAUGGGGUUUCCUGAAUAAUCAAAGCACCCUUUUCAAUUAAACCAAGUCGAGUUACCUUCGAAUCAGGGUAUAAAUAAGCGAAAAUUGUACGAAUAAAAUCAGAAUAAAACGAACUGUUCAUCAGACAACUAG